rnacentral:lncRNA from 10 species
UUCAUCUAUUAUAUUAGUUCUGUCCCUCUGGAGAAUCGGUCUAAUGUAGAUGGCCUUUCAGAUAUUUGAAAAUAAUUAUCCUACUCCCUCUGAGUUUCUUUAAUACGUAUUUUUCUGUUUUUAUCAAAAUCUAACCCCUCUAAUGUGUUCAGGUUCCCACCUCUUCUGGCUUCUCAAGGACUUCUCUUUCCUGUCUCUACCUCAUUUUGUCAAUCUCUCUCUCUCUCAAAUACAUUAUCCUAUUAGAACUAUCCAUCAUCUAGGAUAGUAUUCUACAACUCUGCCAGAUUCAACAUCCCCCUUUUUAAAACAAAUAUUUUUGCUCCUUUCUUUCCCUCCAAAAUGAAAUUUGUUGACAUUAUAUCUUACACACCUGGUAAAAAUAUGAAUAAAAUGCCUUAGCCAUAAUAAAAUGGAGAAAUAAAAGGUAUGCAACAUGUAAUAGGAUAAUACGUUUUAAUACGUAAAUGCUUGGAACAUGAGGUUAGUAGUUUCUGAAAUGGCUCCCAGUUAUCCCUUUGUGCCAUUCCCUGCCUUUGAGAGUGGGUUAGACCUAACUUGCUUCUGAUGAAGAGGGUACAGCAAAAGUGAUGGCAUGUCCCUUCCUUGAUUGCAUUAUAAAAGCUGUGACUUCCAUCCUCUCUCUCUACUCCCCCCACACACCCUGUUUUCUCUCUGGCUCUCCUUGCUAUUCUGAUAAGGGAAGCUGCCAGAUAGAGAGGCCUAUGUUGAAACAAACUCUGUGCAACCUCGGGCACAUUGCCAGGGAGGAUCUGAGGCCUUCAGUCCCAAAGUCUGCAAGAAACAGAAUCCUGCCAACAGCCACAUGUGUGAGCUUAGACAUGGAUCCAUCCCCAGUUGAUUGCACCUUUUAUCAGAGCCCCUGAGCCAGAGAAACCAGCUGAGCUGUACCUGAAUUCCUGACCUACAGAAACUGAGAUAGUAAAUUUUGUUGUUUUAAACCACCAAAUCCUUUAAGAUAAUUUGUUACUCAGCAACAGAUAACUAAUAUAAUCCACAAUGAAGAAGUGAGAUGCUUGCAUCUACUCUUAGAGAAUUAUUUGGAUAUGAGAGGCGUAAGAUCAGAAAUCAUUCUCAACAGAAAGUUCAGGGCAGAGAAAGAGCAGAGAGCCAAGUAGACCCUGGAUUAAAAGCCAAGGUUAGGUUAAAACUAGUUUUAGGAUAACCAGAGUUAUUCCAAUAUUUAUUUUAAAAAAUCAUCCCUUCUACAGCCAAACAAUCUUCAUGGCAUUUAUUCUAAGUUAAAAAUCUUAACUAAGAAUAAGAUCCUUGAUGCUUUAGUUCCCUGGAUGAACACUGUGAUUUGUUUAUAGAACCUACAUGUCUUCCUUGACAAAUGCUAUGAUAUUAAAAAAUGUAUAUCCUCAAUGCCCUUUUAAACAGUGUUUCCCCCCUCAAAUGUGUGAAGUUUUGAUGAUAACUCCACUCUUUCCUUCUCUGCUCAGCCUCAGGAUGUUCCAUCUGCCCUACUUGAAUGCCUGAAGCCCUUCUUUCUCCAAUGACCCUGAGGAAAAUCUUGAAGGCGUUUCUUAGUCUGUGGAUUUUUUCUCCACAAGGGUAUAAAAUAAGAAGAUGAGGGAAAUAACCUUAACUGAAUACAUGGUGAUAUGGUUUGUCUGUGUCUCCACCCAAAUCUCAUCUGGAAUUGUAGCUCUCAUAAUUGGGAGAUAAUUGAAUCAUGGGGGCAGUUUUCCCCACACUGUUGUCUUGGUAGUGAAUAAGUCUCAUGAGAUCUGAUGAUUUUAUAAGCGGUUUCCCCUUUCACUUGGCUCUCAUUCUCUCUUGCCACCACCAUGUAAGACGUGCCUUUCACUUUCCACCAUGAUUGUGAGGCCUCCCCAGCCACGUAGAACUGUGAGUCUAUUAAACCUCUUUUUCUUUAUAAAUUACCCAGUCUCGGGUGUGUCUUUAUCAGCUGCAUGGAAACGGACUAAUACACAUGAAUAGCACGUCAAGACAAAUGUUACAGACUGAAUGUUUUGUUUGGACCUAAAUUCCUGUGCUGAAGCCCUGACAGCCAAUGUGACCGUAUUUGGAGUUGGGGACCAUAAGGAGGGAACAGGGGUUAAAAAUGGUCAAGAUCCAUGAG